UAGUGUUUGUCUCAUGGUGCAGAGAAGAUUAAUGGCAUGCAAGAACUGGAAGUCCUCCUAGAAGAGUGGGGGAAAAAAAGAAAAAAAAAGAGCAGGACAAUUUGGAAUUAAAUCAUUUUGGCAGAAUGGACCACCAUCAUUCAGAUUUAACUGGGGCACAGACUGCUUUAACUCACCAGCUGAAGUACCCUUCUUCAAGAAGCUUGGCCAUGGAGACUACCAUUUCAUAAAUAUCUUCCAUUUCCCAGCAGCUUUGCCUUGUCUUGAGCUUGCACAAGGGAAAAAGGAAGGCCCAGGAGUCACCAACUACUCAAUAAAGAAGAAAGAACAUUCCUGUGUCUGCCAUGGAACAGUACAAAACAGCAAAGACGAAAAGUAUGUGUUGUAUUUGUGGUUAAGAGGACAGCAAAGGGAGAGGAAGCCCCAAGAUUUACAAAAAAAAAAAAAAAAAAAAAAAAAAAAAAAAAAAAAAACCAAACCCAAAAAACCCAAAAAAACAAAACCAAAAAAAAAAAACCCACCAAACUGAUUUGUGAUGGUCACAAUAACUAGAUGGAAAAAAGCCACUAUGUAUUUCAAUUCCAGUUAAAUUAAAGCCUGUUUCUGCUUAAUACUUUUGAUAAUUUGUCCAUGAGCACUUCAUUAUUUAAACAGCUUCAAUAGUUCAUGUGGUACAGCCAAGUUUAGAAAGGAUUUAUUUAACAUGCCAUUACAGCAAUUAGCCCCAGGGAAAGUUCAGCUUGCAUACCCGGCUUCUAAAUAUGUCUUGAGUUUGUAUUUAUCAAGCGAGUUUCCUUUUUCCCCCCUACUGAGUAUAAACUUUUCCUUUUUUUCCCUUACCUCACAGUUUCUCUGAAGCUUUCAACCUGAGCUCUCUUCUGAGCACCUGGCACACUGGGGCUCCAAUCCAGAGGUCCCUUCCACCUUCUCUCCUGAGGACACCGGCACAAUGUCUGUCCUCGGCCAGGUGCAUCUGUCAGGCCACAUGUGUCGGUCAGGAUCUUGCCUGCAGGAGUAAGCACAUAAAGACAGGAUGUCUGAGAGGCAGAAAGGAGAUUCAGGAUGUUGAAGUUCAGUUUUGAGCUCUGAUGUGACUUGAGGCAAGUCAUGUAGUCAUUACCUGUAUCUCGGCUCUCCACAUCUGCACGGUGAUGGUUGUAGUUUGCCUCCACCAUGGUUACUCAGUCUGUAGUGGAUGAGCUAUCACCUGCAAUAUUUGCUUACGUCAGGCAGCACAUCAAGGGUCCAGUCUCACUCUGGGCCUCCAGACACAACCAUUCCUCAAAAAGCGUUUUGAACCCUAUGACUUUGAAGACACCUUCACAAGAAAGAAUGACAUUCUGCACAGUGGAGGAAAUGAGUUCUUCUGGUCCCCAAAAAAUCUGGGUUUGAGUUUUCUAGGACAUCAUAUUAAAAAAAAAAGAAGAAAAAAAAAGGGAAAAAAAAGAAGAAAUUAUAUUUUCUCUCAUAAAUAAAAGCCAUUUUAUUAUCUUCUGAAUCCA
rnacentral:lncRNA from 1 species